rnacentral:tRNA from 1 species
GCACCCGUAGCUCAGCUGGAUAGAGCACCAGACUACGAAUCUGGGGGUCGGGAGUUCGAAUCUUCCCCGGUGCGCCA